rnacentral:rRNA from 1 species
CGCAUCUGUGCAUGCAGCAUAUCAAUAAGCGAGGAAAAGAAACUAACAAGGAUUCCCUCAGUAACGGCGAGUGAAGGCGGGAAGAGCUCAAAUUUGAAAUCUUGAAAGGUCUACCUUCGACGAAUUGUAGUUUAAAGAAGUGUUUUCUGCUGACGAUCUGGUAAUAUAAGUUCUUUGGAAUAGGACAUCACUAGAGGGUGAGAAUCCCGUCUAUGAAUUGCAUAUUUGUAGCUUUGUGAUACACUUUCAAAGAGUCGGAUUGCUUGGGAAUGCAGUCCAAAACGGGAGGUAAAUUUCAUUCUAAGGCUAAAUAUUGGCGAGAGACCGAUAGCGAACAAGUACCGUGAGGGAAAGAUGAAAAGAACUUUGAAAAGAGAGUUAAAUAGUACGUGAAAUUGUCAAAAGGGAAGCGUUUAACACCAGUGUUGUUUUCUGAAAAUCAACCUCUGUUAGCUUUAUGCAUGUUUGUUUAGACCUAAUCAGCUAUCUUGCAUGUUCUAUUGUUUGCAGUGGUGCACUUUUCAGUUUACAGGUCAACAUCAGUUUUUUUUACCGUAAAAAAGUUAAAGAAAGGUAGCUCAUGGCUCCGGUCGUGAGUGUUAUAGUCUUUUUCCUAUGCGGUAGGAGAGACUGAGGUCUGCAGUGUAGGCUAUUUGGCUAGAUACUCAGGUGCUAUGUGAUACCAUUUCAUAAACAACUUGUUGAUUAUGUUUUGUCUAUUGCAUACUCGCUUGUACUAUCAUACCUACGCUUAGGAUGUUGACGAUCAGCUGAGCGCG